rnacentral:tRNA from 1 species
GCCCGGGUGGCUCAGUCGGUUGAGCAUCUGACUUCGGCUCAGGUCAUGAUCUCACGGUCUGUGAGUUCGAGCCCCAUGUGGGGCU